GUGGUCAGGGAGGCUGGGUUGCCCAACGUGGAACCAGAGAACCCAGCCGGGACCCCUAAGGGCCGACUGUUCUUCUCGUAGGUGAGGACACUGGGGACCUGGCAGACGCUGCUACCAGUUUGGGGCAUACCCCGGAAGUUGCUGCUGCUUCUUGUGCAGAAUCUGGUGACCGUGUAUCCCAGGGACCCAGGCACCGAGGCCAGCUGGGUCAGCACAGACUGGACUUGGAGCCGGAAAAGAUGGCAGGAGGAGCAAGCAGGAAGAAGCCCUGAGGCUGGCAGAAUUAGAUGCACUGAGAAUAGAGACGUGCCUAGAAUGGAGUAAGCACUGGGUGGUAUUAAGUACCAACAGUAUCAUGAAGACCGUGGCCGAGUCUUUGCCCAACUGGAGAGAAGAGGGACCCAGGAGCUCUCAGCCAUCCCAUCCACCACAACCCGGAACCUGUGCACAGUGAUGGAUAUCGGGUGAGAGGAAGAGAGGAAUCCAGGGAGCCUGCAGGCACUGGGCUUCAACAACCAGGACGAUGGAGUUGCCAUUUUGGAGGUGGAGACCCUGCCAAGGAGUGGGUUUGCCAGGAGUUCUGUUUUGAAAGUGCAGUCUUCCUGUGACUCUUAAUUUUUGGCCUUUCCCAAUCUUAGUUUCACCACAGAACUUUCUUUUCCAAAGCAUCUCUCAGGGAUAGUCUUCCAAUAAAGGCAAGUUCUGGGAAAUGUCUAAGGGAGAAGAGGAAUUGCAUGCAUGCUAUUAGUUAAAACACAAUAAAAUAAAGUCAUGAAAAUUAUCUUAAACCUUCCAUAAUCCUGUUGCUCUAACACAAAAAAUUACUUUUAUUCUCCAAUUCAUCUUCCAGAUAUGUUUUGCAUAGUUUAUUCAUUCACUCCACAAAUAUUUGUAGCAUUGAAAGAAGGCUGUUAUACAUAU